rnacentral:rRNA from 1 species
UACGGGGGGGGCAAGCGUUGUUCGGAAUUACUGGGCGUAAAGGGCGCGUAGGCGGUUGGAUAAGUCAGCUGUGAAAACCACGAGCUUAACUCGUGGCCUGCAGUUGAGACUGUCUGGCUUGAGUGUGGGAGAGGAGAGUGGAAUUCCUGGUGUAGCGGUGAAAUGCGCAGAUAUCAGGAAGAACACCCGUGGCGAAAGCGGCUCUCUGGAACGGUACUGACGCUGAGACGCGAAAGCGUGGGGAGCGAACAGG